UUGAGGAAUAUUGGUCAAUGGGCGAGAGCCUGAACCAGCCAAGUCGCGUGAAGGAAGAAGGAUCUAUGGUUCGUAAACUUCUUUUGCAGGGGAAUAAAGUGCAGGACGUGUCCUGUUUUGUAUGUACCCUGAGAAUAAGGAUCGGCUAACUCCGUGCCAGCAGCCGCGGUAAUACGGAGGAUCCGAGCGUUAUCCGGAUUUAUUGGGUUUAAAGGGUGCGUAGGUGGUUUGAUAAGUCAGCGGUGAAAGUUUGCAGCUUAACUGUAAAAAUGCCGUUGAAACUGUCGGACUUGAGUGUAAAUGAGGUAGGCGGAAUGCGUGGUGUAGCGGUGAAAUGCAUAGAUAUCACGCAGAACUCCGAUUGCGAAGGCAGCUUACUAAGCUACAACUGACACUGAAGCACGAAAGCGUGGGGAUCAAACAGGAUUAGAAACCCGUGUAGUCC
rnacentral:rRNA from 1 species